rnacentral:ncRNA from 1 species
CAGAGUAGAGGAACGUGCGUACAGUGUCCGCAGGACGGGGAGUUGUCUGCGGAACGAAGGGAUUUCCCGCGGUACGUUCCCCGCAUCCCGCUGU